rnacentral:lncRNA from 1 species
CCUAAGGUCCAAGUGAUAAGUUCUGCUUUAUAUGCGGAAGAACAAACCAUCUUGUGAGAGACUAUUUUUAUUGGAAGAAGAAACUCUUUCGCAAACCUUCUGGUUCCUCUGGACCUCAAGCUCAUAUAUCUGAAGGUCCAGAAGACACCACUUUUAGGUCAGUAAGUUUUGAUCCUGAAGUUAAUGUUACUUCUUCUAACCUUGAUUGAUGGUUGGAUUCAGGAGCUAAUAUUUAUAUUUGUUUUGACCGCUCUUGGUUCACUACUAUUCAGGAUUCAAGCGGAGGAGGUAUAAUCUUUGGAAACAAUACAGCCGCC